rnacentral:rRNA from 1 species
AGAGUUUGAUCAUGGCUCAGAACGAACGUUGGCGGCGUGGAUUAGGCAUGCAAGUCGAACGAAUCCCUGGGGGGUAACUCUCAGGGGGAAGUGGCGAAAGGGGCAGUAAAGCGUGGGUAACGUACCCUGGGGAUCGGGAUAGCCUCUCUAACGAGAGGGUAAUACCGGGCGAUCCAGCGGAGGGGCAUCUCUCUGUUGGGAAAUGAAUUUCGCCUCAGGAGCGGCUCACGUGCUAUUACCUUGUUGGCGGGGUGACGGCCCACCAAGGGAAAGAUGGCUAGCGGGUGUGAGAGCACGACCCGCGCCACUGGCACUGAGACACUGGCCAGACUCCUACGGGAGGCUGCAGUCGAGGAUCUUCGGCAAUGGGCGCAAGCCUGACCGAGCGACGCCGCGUGCGGGAUGAAGGCCUUCGGGUUGUAAACCGCUUUCGGUAGGGAGGAAAUUGCUAGGGGUUCUCCCCUAGUAUUGACCUACCUUCGGAAGAAGGACGGGCUAAGUUCGUGCCAGCAGCCGCGGUAAUAC